GUUCUGAGCCAGGAGAAGGUUUCACAAGGUUAAUGGCUCAGUUAAGGUGGGGCAGGAACAAAUCACAAUGGUGGAAUGUCAUCAGUUAAGGCAGGAAGCAGCCAUUUUCACUUCUUUUGUGAUUCUUCACUUGCUUCAGGCCAUCUGGAUGUAUACAUGCAGGUUUGGGCUCAGAGGCCUGACAUUCCUGUCUUCUUAUAUUAAUAAGAAAAAUAAAACAAAAUAGUGUUGAAGUGUUGGGGCAGUGAAAAAUUUUCGGGGUACUAUGGAGAGAUAAUGGGUGAUGUUUCUCAGGGCUGCUUCGAGGGGGAUUAGGGGCAGCAUGGGAACUUAGAGUGGGAGAGAUUAAGCUGACAGAAGAUUUUGUGGUAAAGGGCAAUAUUGUGGGGUUGUUAAAGGGAGCAUUUGUCAUAUAGAAUGAUUGGUGAUGGCCUGGAUAUGGUCAGGAAAGGUAAAACGGACUAAUGGUCUUUUCCCAAAAACUCACCAACCAAGCAAGUAAUUAUGCUCAACCCUCUUGGGCACUCUCUAAUUGGAUGUCCUGGGUCCUCCCAAUUCUUAGUCCUUUAAUACUUAUUUUUCUCCUUCUUUUAUUUGGACCUUGUAUCUUCUGUUAAGCUUCUCAAUUUAUACGUCCAGGAUUACAUUUCCCUCCAGGAGCGGUCUCUGCUUCUGUCUCAGGAGGAGGCGCACCCUGCCCCCUUGUGAGGGCCUCAGGGGUGAAAAAUCAGGACCCACCCCAUGUGAGAAAUAACCCGAGCUCUCAGCAAUGUGGAAAGAAACUGGCCAGCAACCUGGGGUAAAGGAUCCUCCAUAAUGGCCACUAAAGUCUGCACAUGGACCGAGGAAAAGACACUGCAGGAGCUGGUAAAGUAUUUCCUUGUUGGUUGGGACCAAGUGCCAAAACUUUACAUAUAACAUCUGCACCAUUCUUGGAGGUGAGCUGUCCAGGAGAGGACCCAGCCAGAAUCAUCUGUGUGAGCUGUGGCAGGAUCGAGCUCUGCAAGUUUGUUGUGUGAAGCUACUGAGGUGCAGAACUGUGGGUUAGGCAGAGGGCCUCUCCUGAUUAAUAUUACUACAAUGAAAGCAGGAAGGCUUUGAGGGACUUCUGCAACACACGAGUCUAAAUUUAGUUUAAUUCUGCAUAAUGAUGGCUUAUUCCUUUUUGCUUUUAUCUUCUGAGUGCAUGGCAGAAGACCAUCUCCCAGUAAUGCUGCUGAUUCAGAUCCUUGAGCUGUGUGUUCCCACCACUGAGAGGAGAGACAAUACGGUGAAAAGAACACAGAUGCCUGUGCUGCCUUUCCAAAUUCUGCCCCCAAAGAAGCACUAUGAUGCUGGCAAUUCACUCACCCUCUCUCAACGAUUUCAGUUUCUCCAUCUGUACAAGGAAGCUGAGAUCCCUGCUUCAAGUGCGGUGCUGUGCCAAUCUCUUCACAUGUGUUAACACACUUCGUUCCACAUCAACCCUUAGGGAGAUCCUAUUCUUGUGCCCAUUUUAUGGAUAAGGAGACUGAGCUUCACAGAUGUUAAGUAGUUUCCCCAAGGUCAGAAAACUCAUAAGUGGAAGUCAUAGGGGACCUCUUCUCCAAGAAAGGCCUUCUUGGGGCCUCUUAUUUUGCACAGUGCCACCAUUUCAAUUGGCAAAGAAAACUCUCAGCGCUCAAAGGGCACACUAUUGACCUACUUGCCAUCCAGCCCCUAUGGAAAGCUUGACUCAGCAGGGGCAAACCUGAGCAGGAGCUCCAGCUCAUUGCACAGUAGACACCUGGGUCACAAAUCUGGGUUAGGGCUAAGAUUUUGCUUGAUGACCAAAGAGUCAUCUAUCAGCUCUUCACACUUCCUGAUUUUUAAAAAUCUUUUUUCUUUACUUGCCCAAGUACUACGUGUUCAGUUUCAUGUAUCACUGUCCUUUUUUUUUUUUUCUGUGUGAAUAAAACUGAAGUUUUGGGGUCCCUGACCUGUAGUAUAAAGCUGUGUCAGGCAUUUAAAUCCUACUUUUGGAAUUUUCAUGAUGUUUGUAAUAUGCUCAGCCUUUAAAAAUGUGUAAUUGGCUAUGAUUUCUUUUCAUGUUCUAAGUAUACAUUCAGGCCGGGCACGGUGGCUCACACCUAAGCUCUCACUCAG
rnacentral:lncRNA from 10 species